rnacentral:rRNA from 1 species
GCUUACGGCCACACCACCCUGAGCGGCCCGAUCUCGUCUGAUCUCGGAAGCUAAGCAGGGUCGGGCCUGGUUAGUACUUGGAUGGGAGACCGCCUGGGAAUACCAGGUGCCGUAAGCU